UAUAUCCAGAAAAAUAUUUUCUGUCAAAUAAUAUAUAUAGUAUGUUCAUAAAACUCAUUAGAUUCUAAUAAUUAAAUUACCUAACCUAGUAUGCACUCGUCUCCUAUAAAUCACCUUCGUGUUAUUGUCCGAGAGAAAUCGACUCACAAGAACAAAAUUCAAAUAUUUCGAAGAGUAUAUUCCGGAAAAGAAAAAUGGAAGGAAAAAUUGUUAUUUAGAAUAGCAAUAUUCAUGAUUUUGGCGAACUUAGUUUUCGCAUCGGAUAAUAGUCGAGUGGCCUCGAUAAAGCGGUCGUAUAGCCAGUGCUACUUCGAUUGUGCAAGUGGCUGUUAUUCUACUCCAAUUAAUUAUGGAUGUAUAAUUGGUUGUCAAAGGCUUGCAGUGCUUGUACACCAAAUUGCAAAUAUCCGAGGGUUCUUCUUUGACCUCGUUUGUAAUGUCGGAUGUACGAUCGCUAAAUGUUCCGAAAUCAAAGGUUUGGAUCAAUGGAAGAGCUGCUUGGGAGAAUGCUCAGAGAUCGAUUGCAAAGUUUGAAAUGUUUUUCGAUAAAUAUAUGUUUAAAUAAUCGGAUUAAUGUUUUCGAUGUAAGAAAUUAAUGCAUUAAUAUAUGAUAAAUAUUUUGGAUGAA